GAAAUAAAUAAUUUGUACAUUUACAUAACUGGUAAGGGGUAUACACACCUUGUUCAACUUUCAUUUUGUGAACUGUAGGUAUUUCAUACAUUCAUGGACCCAAACAUACGUAAGUUUCAAACGCACUCAGUUAACAUUUAUAGUAUAGUAAUAUAAGCGGUGUAGAUGUUAUUUGCAUUUUAAGUGAUAUUAUAAAUCCUGUAUACAUAUAGAAGGAAAUAUCUGGAUUUCUCCGGUACUCUGCACUGGCACAACCGGAAGUACUGUAUCUAUGCACACACUCGCUAGAUCGGAAAUCCAAGAUGGUGGAGAUAUGCACCUAGCCCAUAAUGCACCUAAAAGCUGUCAGACAACAGAAGAACAACAACACUGUCUCAUGCACAUAUUGUAGAUUUGUGUCAGGAUUUAAAUGCAAAAUCUGUUUCUCCGGUGGUGGAUUUCCUUAAUCUAGCACUAGCAACGGCCCGCCUGUGACAAAACGAGCUCAGGCCAAAGGGAAAUACACACAAUUACAACGAGUGUGGACCUGCUGCACGUACAACAGUUUCCAGCCGAGAUCAGCCCAUCAGCCUUUACUCCAGUCUUCAGUGUCACAUAAUCCUUCAGAAAUCAUUCCAAAAUAUUGAUUUACUAUCAGUGAUGUUCUCUUUAUCUUUCUAUUUGUGGCAGGAUGGUUAGAUCCUCCUAUAUUGAUUGUUAGGAUUGUUAGCCUAUCAGGAGUUAUGGGUGAGCGUAUAAAGGGUGGAGUUGCGUCACUUGGAUGUGUUGCUCUCAGGUGCCCCGCCCCUUUCUGCUACCAGCGUUUACACUGUUGUUAGCAGUGUGGCUAACUUGGUCAUGGCUCACUUAGGGUUCUUUUUGUGCAUUUAUCUGAAAGGUAAGCAUUAGAGUAAUGUGACUUUUAGAAUCUUUCUACUCUUGUCGUGCUAAUGUUAGUGUUUUGUAUUUUUUGUAUCACUUAUAGCCGUAUGACGUCAACUGGUUUAUGUUGCGACCUGUGUUUGGUCAGACUGCUUACUCGGGUACGUGUAAGAAUUAUAGAGCAAAAUUUAACCAUACUGUGGGAACUAGUUGUUUGUUUUUCAUUGCAGCAGUCUGUUGCUGCCUGCUCCUGGCUGCCACACUAUCAUGUACAUCGUUUAUGGCUCUGCUUCGGUGUGGCAUUUGGCUGCAUUUUUCCAGUUUCUUUUAACAACUUCUGGUUCCGAUUCGGUUCAGUGCUCGCGCUGGCCCUGUCCAUUUAACCUGGCUGAGGUGCUUGUGCGUUGGAGGAUUCCUGCUGUAGUGCGGGACUCUGAACAUCAGUAUUAGGAAGUGUUGCUGUCUUGUUCCUAGUUGGUUUGUUUGUUUGUGCAUUUGGUUCUUUGCUUUUUGUAGUUCCUUUGUUGGAUGGCUCAUAUUUGGCCUAUAACUUGAUAUCUGUACAUAUAGGGCCUUUUAUAUUGCCCUAUAUGUACUCAGUGUGGAAGGCUGGAUGAUUUAAAUUGUCUAAAUUUAUUAUUUGAUUGUUCAUUUCUUUUGAGCCCAGUGUGUAUUUCAUUUUGUUUAUUUCUGUUUUGUUAAUUUCUUUAUUCUCUUGGGAAUUUUUGUUAUGCUUGAAUUGUAAAUUGGCUUCCUUUUUGGUUGUGUUUUUUGAUCUGGUUUGUUCAUUUACAGGUGCUGUGUGUCAAACCCCAAAAGGGCAGGGAGGCAGAUUUUCACAUGUGUGUAGUGUGUAUCUUGUCACCGUGUGCAGUGUUGCGGCAUGUUGAUCACCAACCAAAAUCUCACUGGGUACUGAGUGUGUGUGUGUGUGUGUGUGUGUGUGUGUGUGUGUGUGUGUGUGUGUGUGUGAAUGUGUGCACCAAUAGUGUGUGAUAAUUGCAAUUUGUGCUUCUUUAGGAGUUGAUAUCAGCUGACCACAGCCCUGUAAAUCUCUACUCUUUUUGUGUGAUCAGCAACAAGUAACCAAUCAUUAAGUGUGCCAGCGCUCAUGUGAUUUCCUUUUAAGUAAUUUAUUACUUGGAUUAAUAAAGCUUUGUAUUUUGGUACCCACGUCUCUCGCUCAAUAAUUUUGUGGAACUGAACCUGUAUUGCCUUGAUUAGCACCUGCGAGUGCGUAGUAUUUCCCUGGGUGCAAGUCCUGGGAUGGCGUAGUCCUCUGUCUAGUGUUAUAGUUUCUGUUGCCUAUUGCCAUGCUGCUACAUUCUGGCGUCGUCGGCAGGGUUUUACAGUUUUGAGUAGAGACGUGGGUCAUUUUGUUGCUUUGGAUAUUUCUUUAAAUUGAUAUUGUGUUUUUGUUUACGGUUAUUCCUAGGAGCAAGACAGCAGCACAAACUCCUGGAAGGAUUCACCUGGCUGUUUUCUCUUUUCUAACCCCCCUUAUCUUUUUCAUUCCCCUGUUUAGUGGUAAGUGUUUCUGACAUCUGCUAUGGAAGGGGAGUUGCAAGAACUUAGAGAUAUUGUCGCCCAUUUGAGGGCUGAUAAUGAAUGGCUCAGACAGGAACAAGCUCCAGUUGUUGUAGAUCCUGGUGUGGCCACUAUUGCUGCCACUGGACCUUCUGUUGUGCAGCAACCUACUGGUGCUAGUGCUCAAUUAUCUGAGAGAUUAAUUUUUGUGCCCCGAGAUAGAAAAUGCCCAAUGCCCGAGAUGAGAUCAGAUAUCGUUCUGAUAUAGAGAGGGGG
ensembl:lncRNA